CAAUGAGGAAGUAAAAGUCGUAACAAGGUCUCCGUUGGUGAACCAGCGGAGGGAUCAUUGCUGGAACGCGCCCCAGGCGCACCCAGAAACCCUUUGUGAACUUAUACCUUACUGUUGCCUCGGCGCAUGCCGGCCCCCCUGGGGGCCCCUCCUUCUGGAGGAGCAGGCACGCCGGCGGCCAACCUAACUCUUGUUUUUACACUGAAACUCUGAGAAUAAAACAUAAAUGAAUCAAAACUUUCAACAACGGAUCUCUUGGUUCUGGCAUCGAUGAAGAACGCAGCGAAAUGCGAUAAGUAAUGUGAAUUGCAGAAUUCAGUGAAUCAUCGAAUCUUUGAACGCACAUUGCGCCCUCUGGUAUUCCGGAGGGCAUGCCUGUUCGAGCGUCAUUUCAACCCUCAAGCCUGGCUUGGUGAUGGGGCACUGCCUGUAAAAGGGCAGGCCCUGAAAUUCAGUGGCGAGCUCGCCAGGACCCCGAGCGCAGUAGUUAAACCCUCGCUCUGGAAGGCCCUGGCGGUGCCCUGCCGUUAAACCCCCAACUUCUGAAAAUUGACCUCGGAUCAGGUAGCAUGCCCGU
rnacentral:rRNA from 1 species